rnacentral:rRNA from 1 species
AACGAACGCUGGCGGCAGGCCUAACACAUGCAAGUCGAACGCACCGCAAGGUGAGUGGCGCACGGGUGAGUAACACGUGGGAAUGUACCCUUUGGUUCGGAAUAACGUUUGGAAACGAACGCUAAUACCGGAUGAGCCCUGCGGGGGAAAGAUUUAUCGCCAAAGGAGCAGCCCGCGUCUGAUUAGCUAGUUGGUGGGGUAAAGGCCUACCAAGGCGACGAUCAGUAGCUGGUCUGAGAGGAUGAUCAGCCACACUGGGACUGAGACACGGCCCAGACUCCUACGGGAGGCAGCAGUGGGGAAUAUUGGACAAUGGGCGGAAGCCUGAUCCAGCCAUGCCGCGUGAGUGAUGAAGGCCUUCGGGUUGUAAAGCUCUUUCGCACGCGACGAUGAUGACGGUAGCGUGAGAAGAAGCCCCGGCUAACUUCGUGCCAGCCGCCGCCGUAA